rnacentral:tRNA from 337 species
CGGAGCGUAGCGCAGUCUGGUAGCGCACCUGAUUUGGGAUCAGGGGGUCGCAGGUUCGAAUCCUGCCGCUCCGACCA